GACGAACCGUGCGAACGUUAUUCGGAAUCACUGGGCUUAAAGGGUGCGUAGGCUGCGAGGAGGGUGGGGUGUGAAAUCCCUCGGCUUAACCGAGGAAUUGCGCUCCAAACCACCUUGCUGGAGUGAGACAGAGGUGAGCGGAACUAAUGGUGGAGCGGUGAAAUGCGUUGAUAUCAUUAGGAACACCAGAGGCGAAGGCGGCUCACUGGGUCUCAACUGACGCUGAUGCACGAAAGCUAGGGUAGCGAACGGG
rnacentral:rRNA from 1 species